rnacentral:sRNA from 1 species
GGAGUCUCACUGUGUCUCCCAGCCUGGAAAGCAAUGGCCGCGAUCUCAGCUCACUGCAAACCCCGCCUCCUGAGUUCAAGCGAUUCUCCUGCCUCAGUCUCCUGAGUAAGUGGGAUUCAGACGCCUGCCACCAUGCCAGGCUAACUUUUGUAUUUUUAGUAGAGACGGAGUUUCACCAUGUUGGCCAGGCUGGUCUUGAACUCCUGACCUCAGAGGAAAAAAAAUAAUGUAACUAGAGAAGAGAGUUGAGCAGAGAACCGAGCUCUUUGAAGUGCUGGUAGUUUGUCUCAACCCAUGAAGCAGCUUAACAAGCAACUAUAACUAAGCAUAGAGGUUGGUACUAAGAAGUGCCUUUCCUGACGUCUCUGCUGCUUGGAACCGCUUCUAGAGCAGUCUCUGCUUUUGCCUUGCUUGCUGCCAGCUAGACUGUGACGACAGCACAUCCACCCUCCACCUCUAGCCCAGACACCCCCAUUUCUACUUAUAAUCAAGAGAAAAGCUCUAAGUAUCUGGCAUUGCCCUAGGCUGCUUUAGUGUUAAAAGAAAAGUUUGCUGAAAAAGUAAGAUAUCUUCUGCCAGGAAAUCAAGGAGGAAAAAAAAAUCAUUUUCUCGAUUUUGCUCUAAACUGCUGCAUCUGUCUAUGCCAAACUAAUCAAUACCGAUUGCACCACCAAACUCCAUUGCAAAUUCAGCUGUGAGGAGAUUCCCUUUCAGACAACUUUGCUGAAAGCAGCUUGGAAAUUCGGUGUCGAAGGGUCUGCCACGUUUUCAUGCUUGCAUUUUGGGCUCCAAAUUGGCACUGGGAAGGGGUUACUGAGAGCACAAGGCUGAUACCAGGCCCUACUUUUAAACGUUCAUCUACUUACAAUCCUAGUAUUUCUCUAAAAACCAAAACCUCUUUGAAUUAACAGUUUCAUGCUGUGAAUUUCUAGUGGGAGAUCUUUUCCUUGAUAUUGACGACACAAUUUUCCAUGUACUUUUAAAGCAGGGAGUGGGGAAAAGUAUUUUGAGGGGACAUUUUCAUCAUCAGUUCAGCUU